rnacentral:misc_RNA from 1 species
GGAAAAGGAGAAAAAUUUUCAAAGCGAAGAAAUUAUUUAAUCUAAUUAUGCUUCUACUGAAUUAAAGGAAAACAGAAUCGAAAAAAAGAAAGAAGCUGUUUCAAUAAAAGAAAAGAGAGAAGAAAGGGAAGAAGAAGAUGUUGUGGAGGAGAUGAUCAGAGAAGACUGAAUGGCACCAUUUUUAAUGGAGGAUAAUGUCAGCAAGCACUUUGACAAAAGUUAGAGAAAGAAAGAAAGAUGAUAGAGAAAAAGGAAGGAGAGGAGAGGAGAGAGAAAACAUAAACCAAACAAUUUCCUGCCAAUCCAAUCGAUGGGAACACUAAAAAAUCCUUCCAUUGACCUCGCGAUGUCACCUGCUUCAAGAAAUAGCCAUCGGUUUCCUUCAAAAUAUAGUAGAGUAAGAUCGAGAACUGUGGAUGUGUAAUAAGUUCCUAAUGAAGUAGAACUCCCAAUAUUUUCAGUUCUGAACAGUCACCAAUGAUGGGUUAGUGGAUUUUAUUUAUUUAUUUAUUUCGUUUAUAGCUUUCUUUGGUUCAAAGCUGUGGAAUUUGAUUCCAAUUUUUAUAUUUUUUUUAAGAAUGAAGAUAGCAUGAAUUCUUUUGGCAUCAGUCUAGUAUAAGCAUAAAGGAUAUGCUUUGUAGCCUAAUGACGAUUAUAUUUCAACAUUAGAUAGAGAGAGAGAUUGAGUACCUAAUAAUUCUGCUUGCUGUCAAAAGCCAUAAUGGCACCUCCACUUUAGAGAACCCCAAUUUGCUUAUUCUUGACCUGCUUUUCCCUCUCUUUGCUUUGUGGGCAUUUAAAUACGGCCUUUUUACCAUUUUUCCUAUAAUAUAUUGUUACCUUGUGACUUCUUUUGCUUUCUUGGAACAACCAGCUGCUUCUUCUCUCUCACCAACUACUAUGAAAGAUUCACUGGGUAUGUCUUUCUCUGUCUCAUUUUCUUUUUCUUAUUCUGUAUUUUUAUCCCUUUUCUUAUUAUUUUGUUGAAUCAACCAGCUUCUGUAAAACCCAUGGUUGGGAAUUGAAAAAUAUGUGAACAAAUGCCUGAAAGCUUCUGGGUAUACAAGAUAACCUUGAAGCUUUAAUCUUUGCUGUUUAACUCAUGUUCAGUUAGUGUCUUAACCCAUACAGAUUAAGCUUCCUGUAUUAUUUAUCAGUUAUGAUUCUUGACUUUGUUUUGUUUGCCGUAUCUUUGGUAAAAGGUCAUUUUCGAAUUCCUUAUGUUUCUAAAAUAUUAAUAUAUAUUUAUUUAUCUGGGGAAUAUGGUGAAACUACUGGAAUGGUUUUUCUCUUAUGUUAUUUGAAUAGAGCCUCCAGAAUUUCUUCUAUUUUAGAGGAUUUCUGGUUUCUAUUGCAAAUGCUUAAUCUAAUUGAUGUAGAACAGUGAAAGUAGUUUUAAAGAAACCCAUGGCAGCAUUAUGACCUUGCUGGACUGUUGUAAAGCCCAUUAUAGUUCCAUGCGUUACACCACAAAAUUGCUCCUUAACUAGUUAUAUGACGUUAUUCCCUUCUUGAUGAAUAAUAAAUCUUGGGUUUAGAGUGGCUAGACUUAGAACGUAGGCGAUAGAAUUGAUUGUCCAAAUUUAACAAGUUAUUCCAAGGAUUAUUUCCUUAUAGAUUACAUUUUGGUUUUGGAAAGAACAAGAGGACGGAACUCAAGGAGGGAUUUUUUUUUUUUUAAUGGAAUUUUACUUCACUUCCUUUUUCUUAAUGUUUGAAGGUUCAGAUAAUGCAUGUUUGGUGCCAUGGGUUAAUUCUUGGGCACUUUAGUGUAUCGAGGUACAUAAGAGCACACACUAGAUUGAUUAGAUAAUAUCCUCAUGUAUGAAUAAAAGGAAUAAGCUCAAGGAAGGAAUUCUUUUUGCGGUAUUUUCUUUCAUUUCCUUUUCCUUGUUCAUUACUAUAUGCAAAAAUUGCUGUUGGAAGUUGGAUUCUUUGCAUUAAUUCUAGAGCACCCUAAGAACAUGGGACUACUUGAGAAUUAAUGCUAGAUUGAUUAGCAAAUAGGUGAAAUUUAUUCCAGAUUCUUUGGAUUUAUUGUAGAGCACUCUGAGACCAUUGGACUGUUUGAGACGAAUGCUGGGCUUAAUGGACAAUAUUCUCAUAUAUGAAUUAAUUUAGUGGAAACUACUUCAAUAGUUAUAAAGAAUUUUCCAGUAUUUUUUUAUUGUUUAUCAACAUAAAUGAUAUAGAUAUUUACUCUUAUAUAUAUAUUUAGCAUAUAUUAAUGGACAAAAUUUACCAUGCCAUGGAACAAUGUAAAUGCAUACAUAUCUUCUCUCUUUUGCUGAGCCUAUAUUUGAUUCAUCCUUGUGUCCUUUUUAAGGCACAUCUCACUCUUGCCCUUCUCUGAAGUCAUUGUCAUCCAAAGUAGGAGAGUUGUUUUGCCAUUGUGGUUCACAAAACAAAUACAAGAGGCUAGAUGCAAAGCUUGAAAAGAAGAUGAUUGAAGUAAAGAGAAGUUCAUCAGGGCAUGCAAAUUUUAAAUCUAUUAACAGUAUAAUCUUGAGGUUUCCUCGGUUCAAAGAGGGACUGAAAAACAUCAGAGGCGUAUUUGAACAAUAUGGUUAGUUUCCACCAGGUUUCUUUUCUAUAGCCUGAGAUAUUAUGGUGGAUAUACUGCAUAUCUACUCUCAUUAAUUCCAUCUGAUAGAUGAAGAUGCAAAUGGUGCUAUUGACCGUGAGGAACUCAAGAGAUGCUUACAGAAACUACAACUCAAUCUGAAAGAACAGGAGGUUGAGGAUUUGUUUCAUUCCUGUGAUAUUGAUGGGAGCCAGGGGAUACAAUUCAAUGAGUUCAUUGUUCUUCUGUGUCUCAUCUAUCUCCUAGUGGAACAUUCCUCCUCCCCUCAUAAUGUAUCCAGGAUAAACUCAAACUUUGUCUUAUUGAAUCUUUCUAUUAUUGAAGGGAUUAACUGUUUGCAUUGCUGUUCCAUAUAUUUGAUGGCCUAUGGAUUUCUUUCAGACAUCAAAGAUGGGUUCACCAGAGCUUGAGGCCACUUUUGAUACUUUGGUUGAAGCAUUCUUGUUUCUUGACAAGAAUGGUGAUGGAAAGUUAAACAAGAAAGAUGUGCUCAAAGCUUUGAAUGAGGAUUCCCCUUGGGAGAAAUCACCUGCGCACAUCACCAAGUCCCGAUUCAGUAUUAAUCUUCUUUACAUGCUAUAAUUCUAUGUCUAAUUUUGUACUGAUAGCAAGUUAUUUUAACCAUCUUCUGGUGAUUCCUGUGAACAAAUGCAGGGGAAAUGGAUUGGGACAGGAAUGGGAAGGUCAGCUUCAGAGAGUUCCUCUUUGCUUUAAUAAAUUGGGUUGGGAUUGAUGCUGAUGAGGAAAUUCCUGCAAUGGGAAGUUAAAACUAAGUGCAGGAAAUUCAAACAAAUGUGAUGGAUAAUAGUCCAACAUGAUGUCUGAUCAAAGAAUUUAUGUAAAUACCUGAAAAAUUCUAGUCUAAUAUUCAGAACUGUUGUUUGUUUGUCAUGUUCAUGUAUUUUAUAUUGUUUCCUUUCAAAAUAAAAGUUCUGAUCAAUAUGAAUCAAAUUUGAUAAGUAGUGACAUUAUCUCAUUUCUUCCUUAUGAGAGAAGGAUGC